rnacentral:rRNA from 1 species
UACGUAGGGUGCGAGCGUUGCCCGGAUUUAUUGGGCGUAAAGGGCGCGUAGGCGGCCACGCACGUCCGUUGUGAAAUCGCCCGGCUCAACUGGGCGGGGUCAGCGGAUACGGUGUGGCUCGAGCAAGCUAGGGGGCAAUGGAAUUCCCGGUGUAGUGGUGAAAUGCGUAGAGAUCCGGAGGAACACCAGUGGCGAAGGCGACACGCUGGGCCGUACCUGACACUGAUGCGCGACAGCAUGGGGAGCAAACAGG